CCUACGGGAGGCAGCAGUCGUUGCUAAAUUCCAUGUGUUACAUAGUACUGACUCAUGGGCGGACAUGGAUUAAUUAACUCGAGUGCCCUGUGGUACUCCACUAUACUCAAGUGAAUUGACGGAUCGGCGAAUUCUGCUGAUAUCCCUCGCGACGUAGAGUCAGCCGCUCCUAACUGCAUGUCAACGGCCCCGUUCAUCCUUUAGUGGCUCGCAUUGUUCUUAUUGCUCGUCGUUUUACAGUCUGUAGGCGGCGCGGUAAGUCAGAUGUGAAAUCCCUCGGCUCAACCGGGGAACUGCGUCUGAUACUGGUCGGCUUGAGAACGGUAGGGGUGAGCGGAACUCCAGGUGGAGCGGUGAAAUGCGUAGAUAUCUGGAGGAACACCGGUGGCGAAAGCGGCUCACUACGGGGUGAUUGACACUGAGGCACGAGAGCAUGGGGAGCAAACAGGAUUAGAUACCCUGGUAGUCCAUGCCGUAAACGAUGAUCACUGUCUGUUGGUUUUAGUUAAUCAGUGGAUAAGCGAAAGCGAUAAGUGAUCCACCUGGGGAGUACGUCCGCAAGGAUGAAACUCAAAUGAAUUGACGG
rnacentral:rRNA from 1 species